CGAACGGGUGAGUAAUGCGUCGGAAUGUACCGUGUAAUGGGGGAUAGCUCGGCGAAAGCCGGAUUAAUACCGCAUACGACCUGAGGGGGAAAGUGGGGGACCGUAAGGCCUCACGUUAUACGAGCAGCCGACGUCUGAUUAGCUAGUUGGUGAGGUAAGAGCUCACCAAGGCGACGAUCAGUAGCGGGUCUGAGAGGAUGAUCCGCCACACUGGGACUGAGACACGGCCCAGACUCCUACGGGAGGCAGCAGUGGGGAAUUUUGGACAAUGGGCGCAAGCCUGAUCCAGCCAUGCCGCGUGUCUGAAGAAGGCCUUCGGGUUGUAAAGACUUUUGUUCGGGAGGAAAUCCCGCUGGUUAAUACCUGGCGGGGAUGACAGUAC
rnacentral:rRNA from 1 species